UACGGGGGGAGCAAACGUUGUUCGGAAUCACUGGGCGUAAAGGGCGUGUAGGCGGCUGGAUAAGUGGGAUGUUAAAUCCCCCCGGCUCAACCGGGGACCUGCAUCUCAUACUGUUCAGCUCGAGCACAUCAGAGGAGACUGGAAUUCCCGGUGUAGCGGUGAAAUGCGUAGAUAUCAAGAGGAACACCUGAGGUGAAGACGGGUUGCUGGGCUGACACUGACGCUGAGGCGCGAAAGCCAGGGGAGCAAACGGG
rnacentral:rRNA from 1 species